UACGUAGGGUGCGAGCGUUAAUCGGAAUUACUGGGCGUAAAGCGUGCGCAGGCGGCUUCGCAAGUCAGACGUGAAAGCCCCGGGCUUAACCUGGGAAUGGCGUUUGAAACUACGGAGCUGGAGUAUGGCAGAGGGGGGUGGAAUUCCACGUGUAGCGGUGAAAUGCGUAGAUAUGUGGAGGAACACCGAUGGCGAAGGCAGCCCCCUGGGCCAAUACUGACGCUCAUGCACGAAAGCGUGGGGAGCAAACAGG
rnacentral:rRNA from 1 species